GGACGGUGAUGAAAUCGGGCCCUGAGAUCGUAAAGGCGGGUCUGCGCUCCUUCUUCGAGAGUGCCUCGGAGGACAUUGAGAAGAUGGUGGAGAACCUGCGGCUAGGCAAGGUGUCCCAGGCACGCACGCAGGUGAAGGGUGUGGGCCAGAACCUCACCUACACCACAGUGGCUCUGCUGCCUGUCCUCACCACCCUCUUCCAGCACAUCGCCCAGCACCAGUUCGGAGAUGAUGUCAUCCUGGAUGACGUUCAAGUUUCUUGCUACCGAACACUAUGCAGUAUCUACUCUCUGGGAACCACCAGGAACCCCUACGUGGAAAAG
rnacentral:lncRNA from 1 species